CCAAUAGCGUAUAUUAAAGUUGUUGCAGUUAAAAAGCUCGUAGUUGAAUUUCGGGGUUCAUACGUUGGUCGGGCUAUUUGGUCUGUACUUAUGUAAUGGAUUCCUACCUUCUGAAUAACCGGCAUGCCAUUAAUUUGGUGCGCCGGGGAAGCAGGACUGUUACCUUGAAAAAAUUAGAGUGCUUAAAGCAGGCUAUCGCCUGAAUACAUUAGCAUGGAAUAAUGAAAUAGGACGGCAUGGUUCUAUUUUGUUGGUUUCUAGGAUCACCGUAAUGAUUAAUAGGGAUAGUUGGGGGCAUUAGUAUUCAAUUGUCAGAGGUGAAAUUCUUGGAUUUAUUGAAGACUAACUUCUGCGAAAGCAUUUGCCAAGGAUGUUUUCAUUAAUCAAGAACGAAAGUUAGGGGAUCGAAGACGAUCAGAUACCGUCGUAGUCUUAACCAUAAACUAUGCCGACUAGGGAUCGGACGAUGUUAAUUUUUUAAUGACUCGUUCGGCGCCUUACG
rnacentral:ncRNA from 2 species